AGAAAAUAUCGACAAAAAUACGGUUUGGCUCAUAUAUGAGCCACCAUGCAGUAAAGGGUUAAAACACAUAAAAGGUACAAUUCCUGUUUGUUUGCAUUCGCUUUCUGCAUUCAUUGCUAAUUUGUACCUUGAAUUUAGUUAAUAAAGUAAUAAACGACCUUUUUGAUUUGAUAUGGAAACUAUCUUAUAGGUAGGUAGGUUAAUAUUGACUUGUCAGCUAAUAACGUUGUUAUCUUUUAAUAAGAAUCAAUUCGUGUUGAAUGCAUGACAUUACUUUAUAUGCUACCAAUAAAUAUCUCUAUCGCAAUCAAAAAAAUCAAAACCCAUUGAGUUAAUCACUCGAAUAUGGAAAACUUGUUGCAGACCCAAUAAUACCAUAUUGGGUAUCAAAGCAAAACGAGGUUACACAAUUCAAUUGCAAUGUCCAUUGCAACUUAAAGAAAAUGAAAAAAAAAAAAACGUCUAAUAAAUAACCAAAAAGAUAGAAAAAUGGGCAGAUGUGUUAGCAAAAGAGAUGUUGACUUGAAAAAUUACAAAAAUACUCGUACAUCGAUGAUGCUGACGCACCAAAAAGGCAACUAGAACUCUCUCAGCUUCGACUCCCGAGUUGUGUACAAUUCGACUCGACACUCGUACAACAUACAUUCGCUUCGCAAUUCGAAUACAAAUCACUUCGUAGUUUAUUUAUCUUCGUUUCUUUUAAUUUAUCGCAAUUUUUAUAAAUAGCUUCAUCAGAGUAGCAAGUACCAAGCAAUUGCGACUCUGACUCUGGCCAGGCCACCACCAGACGCAGACCACAACGAUUGUGGUGUGUUGUGUUGGGCGCUUUAAGAUAGAUCACCACUUUGGAAUACUUGUCAUUGGGAUUUUCUUGGAAAGACGUGCAAAAUUUCACCGCGUCGAGUGUGAUUUGCUGGCACAUUUGCAUACCUAUAGAUUUUGCUAAUGCAUUGCAAGAUUCUUUGUUGUUUUAUUUGUAUGUUAACACUUUUGGAGAAAUAAUGUAAAAAAAAAACAAGAUACGCAAGAGGAAACCAACGUCGCUCGACGUCGUCGUCGUCAUGUUUGUGGAGUGAGUCAUCGAACAAAGAUAAAAAUUGGGUCUUAAGCAGUUAAAUUUGGUUAAAUGGGUGUGGAGUCAUAGGAAAUUAAUCAAAUUGUUAUAAUUUAAUUUCUUUAAACACAGAAAAACAAAGAAAACAUGAAAAUGAUGUGCAGUAAAAUGCAGAUGUUUUUUAAAGUGUUUCUUACCUGCAAGUUGGUCCUCUGUGUAGUUACCCUGCAAAACACACAAAAUACAAAGCAAAUCAAUAUAAAGAAUUGAGUUUUUCACAUUAAUUAGAUAAUUACCAUUUUAUUUGAUAUGAA